ACCAGAGGGCUGGGCUGCUGUUGCUGCAAUCCAGGCCUCUGAUGAUGACAUACCACAUUCGCAGGUCCAAGAAAUAACAGUGAUAAGAACAAAACUAGGAUUUUGUGACUCGGCACACUAGGAGACACACAAAAGGAAGAGUGGGAGAGAGAGGGAAAGACAGAGAGAAACAUCGAUGUGAAAGAAACACAUUGAUUGGUUGCCUCUUGCACGGGCCCUGACCAGGACCCAGGCUGAGGAGGAGCUUGCAACCAAGGAAUAUUUUCUGAAAAGAAAGUGUGGAGCAAAAGCCUUCUUCCUCCAGCUUCCCCUCUGCCUCCACGUUCCUGGGUCUUUUGUAAAGAGAUUUCUUCUGUAAGAAAGUUGUGAGUGGUGGUGAAUUUUCCUGAUGAGGAUGAAAGAGGGUGAAGGGUUCCUUGCUUGACAGACCUGGGAAAGCUGACCUAGAACUUCCUUGUGUCAGUCAGGGCUCUCCUCCAUGUCUCCCUCUACCCUGCAACGUUGGUGGCUCGACAUCUGAUACAAGAUUGGCUGUGAGGUCAUGAGAUCUUUGCAACCCAACGGAUGGGAAACUUGGCACCUCACUUACAGCAUGGUUUCUCUUUUCUUAGGGCAUGACUGAUGCAGGGCCAGGACAGAGGCACUCAUUAAUAGUUUUAAGAGUACUUCAUGAUGAAUAUGAGUUAUGAUCAACAUAUUUUAAAUUAUUCAGAAAAAUCCUGGGAACUUUAUUUUCAGAUGGGGGCCCAAAUCUCAGAGAUGAAAUGUUAGGGUCAAGACUUGGGGCCUACCUCCUUCUCAUCCUGUAUCUU